UACGGGGGGGGCAAGCGGUUGUUCGGAAUUACUGGGCGUAAAGGGCGCGUAGGCGGCCUUCUAAGUCGGACGUGAAAUCCCUCGGCUUAACCGAGGAACUGCGUCCGAUACUGAAAGGCUUGAAUCCGGGAGAGGGAUGUGGAAUUCCAGGUGUAGCGGUGAAAUGCGUAGAUAUCUGGAGGAACACCGGUGGCGAAGACGGCAUCCUGGACCGGCAUUGACGCUGAGGCGCGAAAGCUAGGGGAGCAACGG
rnacentral:rRNA from 1 species